GAUGAACGCUGGCGGCGUGCCUAAUACAUGCAAGUCGAGCGAACAGACGAGGAGCUUGCUCCUCUGACGUUAGCGGAGGACGGGUGAGUAACACGUGGAUAACCUACCUAUAAGACGGGGAUAACUUCGGGAAACCGGAGCUAAUACCGGAUAAUAUAUUGAACCGCAGGGGUGAAUGGUGAAAGACGGUUUUGCUGUCACUUAUAGAUGGAUCCGCGCCGCAUUAGCUAGUUGGUAAGGUAAAGGCUUACGAAGGCAACGAUGCGUAGCCGACCUGAGAGGCGGAUCGGCCACACUGGAACUUAGACACGGUCCAGACUCCUACGGGAGGCAGCAGUAGGGAAUCUUCCGCAAUGGGCGAAAGCCUGACGGAGCAACGCCGCGUGAGUUAUGAAGGUCUUCGGAUCGUAAAACUCUGUUAUUAGGGAAGAACAAAUGUGUAAGUAACUAUGCACGUCUUGACGGUACCUAAUCAGAAAGCCACGGCUAACUACGUG
rnacentral:rRNA from 1 species